GACGAACGCUGGCGGCGUGCUUAACACAUGCAAGUCGAACGGAAAGGCCAUGCUUUUGUGGGGUGCUCGAGUGGCGAACGGGUGAGUAAAACGCGAGUAACCUGCACCUAACUUUGGGAUAAAACUAGGAAACUGGGGAUAUUAUCGGAUAGGAGAUCCUGAUGCACGGUGGGGGAUGGAAAGUUUCGGCGGUUGUGGCUGGACUAGCGGCUUAUCCGCUUGUUGGUGGGGUAGUGGCUUACAAAGGCUUUGAAGGGUAGCCGGCCUGGGAGGGUGACCGGCGACAUUGGUACUGAGGGACGGCCCAGUCGCCAAUGGGAGGCAGCAGUGGGGAGUAUUGCACAAUGGGCGGAAGCCUGAGGCAGCAACGCCGCGUGCGGAAUGACGGGCUUCGGGUUGUAAACCGCUUUCGCCUGUGACGAAGCGUGAUUGACGGUAAUGGGUAAGGAAGCACCGGCUAACUACGUG
rnacentral:rRNA from 1 species